GAGUCUCCAUCCAGCUGGAUCUCUGUCACAGAGAAACCCACCACUACAAGUCCUGCUUCAACCACCUCUCCUCCUGGUUCCUCCUCUUCUCAUCUCUCUGUGUUCUGGUCUGCUGUUCAAUCUCUCGUGUUCUGGUUCUACUGGUGAGACGAUGCCUCCACAGGAAACCUAAAGGUUGGACACAGAUGUUUCUAUUAACACUUGUUAAUCCAUGUGAUGCAGUUCACAUUUAAAGUUUCCAUUAACACUUCUGGACGUACAAAUAAUAACAAGUUACAAACUGUUUCUUUAAGUCAGACGUCCAUCAGGAUUCUCAUAAAUCACAUUGCUGCUGUUAAUAAAACAAUCUCACCACAGGGUCCAUUUAGUGAGCUGUGGAGCUUUUGACUGAAUAACAUGAUCUUCCUUGAUUUAAAUUUCUGCUCAUUUUGGUUCAUUCAGCUGAAGAAGAAGCUGGGGAUGAUGACAUCACAAACCUACAUCAGCCAAUCAGACGCAGCAGAGGUAACAAUGUUUUAUUGAUUCUGGUUUUCAGGGACAGUGAGUGUGCGUUCUUAUUCUUAUGUGUGAGGACCAAGUUGAAUUUUAGACCUUGUGAGGAAAUUUUUCUGAAAUGAGGAGAUGAUAUAAAUGUUUAUCAAAAUAAAUCAAAUUUAAAAUCA